rnacentral:rRNA from 1 species
AGUGAACGCUGGCGGUAGGCCUAACACAUGCAAGUCGAACGGCAGCACAGUAAGAGCUUGCUCUUACGGGUGGCGAGUGGCGGACGGGUGAGGAAUACAUCGGAAUCUACUUUUUCGUGGGGGAUAACGUAGGGAAACUUACGCUAAUACCGCAUACGACCUACGGGUGAAAGCAGGGGAUCUUCGGACCUUGCGCGAUUGAAUGAGCCGAUGUCGGAUUAGCUAGUUGGCGGGGUAAAGGCCCACCAAGGCGACGAUCCGUAGCUGGUCUGAGAGGAUGAUGAGCAACACUGGAACUGAGACACGGUCCAGACUCCUACGGGAGGCAGCAGUGGGGAAUAUUGGACAAUGGGCGCAAGCCUGAUCCAGCCAUACCGCGUGGGUGAAGAAGGCCUUCGGGUUGUAAAGCCCUUUUGUUGGGAAAGAAAAGCAGCAGGUUAAUACCCCGCUGUUCUGACGGUACCCAAAGAAUAAGCACCGGCUAACUUAGUG